ACAGGCUCCUGUGCGACCUGCGCUCCUUCCUGCUCAUCCUGGACCGCGAGAGCCUCAGCGCCGAGGCCAGAGCCAAGAAGAAGUCGGUGGCCGAGCUCCUGCGGCGGCUGCAGAGCCCCCAGUCAGAGGAUGCAGAGUACAUGAGCAUGCGCUGCCUCUCGCCCUCCUCGGGACCCCCCCAGGGCCGGGAUAAUUCGGGAACCAGGACGCAGGAUGCAAGGGGAGGGAGAGCGUGCGAGCGCCGCCCGGGCAGCACCCAGAGCCCCCACGGUGGGGUACGGACGUGGGGGGGGCAAAGGGGGGCGUGGGGGGGGGACAGGGGGGUGCCAGGAGCCGCUGCAACCUCGCUCAUAUGGGGCUGGGGGGCUGCUCUGGGGAGGGUGGCACACGAGCCCCCCACCCACUUUUUGGGCAAUCUUUUGGGCACCCAUCCAUUUUUUGGGGCACCCACCCAUUUUUUGGGGCACCCACACAUCUUUUGGGGCACCCACCCAUUUUUUGCCCCCCCCGGGGCCAAGCAGCACCCCCCCAGCCCCCUGUUUCCCCCCCCCCACAGAGCACCUCACCGAGCACCUCUCCAUCCCCACCACCCGACGACUCCUACGAGGACACCGAACCCUUCGGCCCCGGGGGGCGCGGCGGCUCCGGUGAGCACCCGACACCCCCUCCCCUGCCCCCCCCCCCCCCCCCCCAAGUGCCCCCCGCCCCCUCCCGAGACCCCCACUUGGGCUCGCAGGCGGCGCCGACACCGACAGCAGCCACUACGAGUCCUACGGGGAGGACGAGGACGCUGCGCCCCUGCCCGACCGUGCCCAGGACCGUGCCCACUACCUCCGGCGACCACCGGCCGGCGGCCCCCCCCCUUCCAAACGAGCCCCCCGG
rnacentral:lncRNA from 1 species